UGUGACUUCGUUGCACACGUGAAAUGUAGCAGAGAAUAUGGCGAUUCUGCAACAGAGACUGCAGGACAAAACCAAGAAGGGCAAAGUGUGACUGUUGAUGAUCAAUUCAUGGAACCUAGCUUUCGCGCUGUCCGUGAGAUCAGGCAUGGAGAUGAGAGAAUAAUUGAAGAGAUCAAACAUUUGAGUCAUCAACAUAACCUAGUCCUUUUUGACAAGGUUGAUGAUGAUCUAAAGUGUGAUGGGUGCAUGUUACCAAUCUCAACUCCGUUUUAUAGUUGUGCCAGUUGUAAUUUCUUUCUUGACAAAACGUGCAUAGAAUUACCCAGGCGAAAAAAGUGGCAAUAUCACGAAAACCAACUGAUUCUUUCAUGGAACAUAGGGGUACAUUCCAUGUACAUGUGUGAUUUGUGUAAUCAAUAUUUUCGUGGGCUCAGCUACUUUUGUGAUAUAUGUCGUCUCUGCAUUGAUGUCCGAUGCUUCAAAUCAUUGAAAGAUUCUUUUAAACAUGGAGGUCAUGAGCAUCCCCUUUAUCUUCCAGCGGACAGAAAGAAUAUUCUCCGUUGCAAUAUUGGAGGUCGCGGGCUCCCCCCUUGGGCUGCAGAUGACAGAGAGAAUAUUCCCCAUUGCAGUGGCUGUUGUGUCAGUGAAGAAUCAAAGGUGUUUUUUAAAUGUGUGGUUUGCGAUUUCAAGCUGGGUAUGAAAUGUGCUACACUUCCAUACAAAGCAAGACACGAGUAUGAUGAGCAUCCUCUCUUCCUCACCUACAUGAAUGAAAAUGACUACCAACCUUCCUGUAUAAUUUGUGAAAAAGAUAGAGACCCAAAGCUCUGGUUCUACCGUUGCGAGAAAUGCGACUUCGAUGCUCAUCCAGAGUGUGCUCUCGGGAAAUACCCAUAUGUCAAGCCAGGGGGGGUUCACACGUAUCCUAAACACCCUCACCCUCUUGUUUUGGUCGUCAAGACAGAGGAUUAUCGUCCACAGGCAUGCGAUACUUGUGGUGAGCCUUGCGACGACUUGGCCCUUGAAUGUACUGAUCCUAACUGCAGUUUUAUCGUCCACCGGGAUAGAUGGGAAUGCUAUGAGUCAUUAUGGUGAUUGGAUUGCAGUUGAUGGCUUUUUUCUUAUUUUUGGGUUAUGAUUGUUGGGGUGAAUGGUUAGCUUCAUACUUAUUAUCUCUGUUUCUAUUUUCGCAUAUCAGAUCACUUUUUUUGUUUCUCUAUCUGUUUUUUUUUUCUGAACAAUGGAUGCUAUUUUAUUAAAACUGUCAAGCUCUCCAUAAAUUCUGCAUUUACAUUUUUGUUAUAGAUUUUAUUGUAAAUGCAUAAAAAUAGUCAUAUAAAACAACACUUAUCUAACUGAUAUCAAUUAUUUUCAUUCAAAUAUUUAAUUUUUAUUUCCUUAACACAAUCUAAUAUUAAAUAAAUGUAUUUAAAUAAUAUUUAAAAUGAACACCUCAAGGGCAUUCGAUAACUUUGUCUUUUAAUAAGAUAUAUCAUGAAAAAGUAAGUUAAUUCAUGUUCUUGGUAUUUUUCUUCUUAAAAAGAGUAAGAAUAUUUGGUUAGAUCUGAUAAAUCAACGACGAUUUUUAAUUUAGAUAAAAAGCUUUUUUUAGCUCAAACCCAAUUUAAUUAUUUGAAAGUGUUAUUGAUUUUAAAGGAUUAUAAAAUUCUAAUUUUAUAGAAAAUAAAUCUUUUAAAAUCUUCUAAUAAAAUUUGAGAUAAAAAAAAAUCCUUUACAAGACUGCUUAUUUAAGAAAAAUAUCCAAUUAAAAAUCUCCAACCUUUGCAUGCUGCUAGCAACAUUCCCAGCCUUCUUGGAUUGUAUUUUUCUUAGUUGCUUGGUUUAUUUGUAGUAAAUUGGUAAGUACCAGCGAGUUAGGUUAAAAUUAGGUGCAUAUCUGAAGCAUUCCUUAAUGUUUGACGUCAUAGGAAUGUUCAUAUCGUGACAGUUAAGGUAUCCUUUUCUCUUUGGAAUUUAAGCAAAAAAAUUCUCUGUUUCAUCAAAUUGAGUCGACAUCGACUCAUAAAUUCCCUCAAUUAUAUCAUUCAAGCAAGAACAACUUGUUAUCGUCAAUCGACAUCACACCAAAUAAUUACGAUAACGAAAAAUAAAUUUGAUUAAUUAGCUGUACUGGACUUGGAAUUAAUGCAUUCACUGUUUUCUGAAACUUUUCCUAGUAGAUUUUCAACUUUGCUAUGAGUUUUCAAAACAUGAUAAAAAGAUUUAUAUUCUUUUAUUUUGUUCAAGCAACACUGACAUGGCAAUAAGCUAGCAUUGCACUGCUAUGGAUCGUGGCGAUUUGAUUUGUUUUCCAAUUUACAAUUUAGUCAAAUUCCAAGAAAACUAACACAAAAAAAGAGAGUAAAUGACCUGUUCAAAAUCUAAUUAGAAAUAAACUUCAUUUUUUGAUAUAUGGGAACUGAUUAUAAUGAUAACUUGACCAUUGAAACCUGAAAAGGCAUCCAUCUGAAGAUGCCACCUACAUGAUUUAAUGUCAUUUUAGUUUUUGCCGUAUACAAAAUUUUACAGCACAUUGAGCCAUGAAAGUGACCCGUUUUGGAAUGAGUCCAGAGGGGUCUUUGAAAUUGCAGUUAGAACGUGAUUUAAAAAAAAUUAUUUUUUAAUAUUUUUGUAUAGGUAUUGGUAUCAUAAAUAAAUUUUAAAAAAUAAAAAAUAAAAAUUUUAAUUCAUUUUUUUUUUUUUAAAAAAAAAAACAAUUACUUUGAAACAACGUGGCAACUGAAUGGUGGUGCAGUUAAACGCAUUUUCCUAAUCAGCAGUUUUCCUUUCGAAAUGAAAACGGUUGGCGUGUACUUGUGCUUCCUUUUCUUUUUCUUUUAUUUUUGUUUUAUUUUUUAUUUUUUUUUAUUAACAUGCAUGUCCAGGUCAUCUUAUGUGCAACUUGACUAAUCUCACGGACCCUAAAGUUAAUAACUAUAUAAACCUCUAGUGGUCCUGAGGUUUGUAGGACCCGAAUGAGUGACCUCUAGAGAGCAAAUUUAGGAUCUGACCAGUUAAGCUAUACCCCUCAGAUUUAUUUUUUUAGUUUUUAUUCCAUAGUAAAAGGUAUUUUUUAUUAGUUUAUAUGUUAAUCAAGAUUGAGUUUUUUUAUUCAGAUGAUUUUAAAGAUAAAUAAUUUAAAGUUAUGAAUCAUCGAAUAAUCCAUUUAAAGUUAUAAAGUUGUGAUGUGUCUUAAAUCAAAUAAAAACUAUACUAGAUUAUUGACUUGUAUUAUGCUACAGGCUAGGUUAAAUUUUUUAUAAAUAUAAAAAAAUUAUUUAGAUAUUGUUAAUGUUUUUUUUCCAGUGAAAAAAUCUAAAUCACUGGAAGAUUGACCUGAUAUAACCAUAGUUAUAAAACCCGACCUGGUAGUUGACCCGGUAAAAUAACCGGGUCUCAGGUCUUGGGGGUCAACCCCUCUCCUUAAAUAUAAGGAUUAAAGAAAUCAAACUGCUAUAUCAUCCCUAAACCGCAAAACCCAGUGAUAAAUUGCUUGCAUUUCCUAUCCAUUUUUAGCAUAAGCAGCCGAAUGAAGAUGAAAAUACUUGUGUAACUAAAAUUUAAGUAGUAGAUCAAAAAUAGAAUGGUACUAGUAAAUGAGUGACUAUGAACUAUUAAAUAGAUUUAUUUAAUGUAUUAUAAAACUACCCUGUCUGUUUUCAAUUUAAUUAAUUUCUCCAUAGUUAUGAUCACUAAAACCCAUAAAGAUUUGUGAAUUUGAAGAAGAAAAUAAUAUUAUUUAACCUUUUUGUAAUUUAGGUUUAUAAUAAAAUUACAUUCCAACCAUGCUUUUAAAAAAAUUAAACUUUUUUUUAGCUUUAAUUUUUUUUUGUUCUUUAAUCGUUUUGAUAUGUUAAUUUAAAAAAAAUAUAAAAACAAAUUAUUUUGAUAUAUUUUUAAAUAAAAAAACAUCUCAAUUAUAUUUCUAAACAAGCGCAUGCUUGGAUUUGUAUGUUGAAAAUUCAUAGUUUUUAAACUCGGUCCGGUCCAAGAUCCGGGUUCCGGGUUUUGACCGGGUCACCAAGUCAUCCGGGUCAAUUUUUUUAAAAUCAAAAUGACUUUGUUUUAGUAAAAACAAGUUAACGGGUUGCAACCGGGUUUUGCCGCGUCACCUAGGUUGCCGGGUCAACUCAUGUUUUUUCUUUUUUAAAUCUGAUCCAGUUCUAACUUCGAAUUAGCUGGGUUUUGGAUCAAUUUGUCAAGACAGACGGGUUCUAAACUAUGAUUGAAGUUACUAUGUUUUCUAGUUUCCUUUUGUCCUUUUUACCUCACAUUUUUAAUCCUCAUGGUUCUCUUGCUUUGGAAAUGGAUGGCGAUGGCUUUAGUCAAUGCACUAGUUACAUGACCCGCGCGAUGCCGCGGGUCAAUGGUUUUUGCAUAAAAAAUAUCAAAAAAAAAUUAAAAUCUAAAAGUAUUAGGUUUUUUUGCAAAAUUAUACCCAAGAGUCUUGGGUGUGGCUGCAACGCCUGACCCAAGAGUAAUAUUUAUAAUAUUAAUAAUAACAUUAAACUUGUAUGACCCAAGUUUAAGUGGGUCUGACUGCAAUACCAGACCCAAUAGUCUUGGAUGUGGGUUUGGCUGCAAGGUCGUGUCAUAAAAGUGUGUUAAUUAAAUAGAUUAAUUAAAAAGAAAAAAACCAAAAGGAAGAAAAAAACUAAUAAAGAAAAAGAAAAAAAUCUGAAUUAACUGGGUUAACCCUUCAAACCAGGUUAACCCAUCACACCUUGGAUUCGUGUCGUGAAAGUUUGAUAACUAAAUAGAAAAAAAAUUGACAGGUUAACACAAAAUUAACUAGGCUAACCCGUCAAACCCGGGAUCCGUGUCAUGAAAGUUUGAUAACUAAAUUAAACGAAAAAAAUUAAUUAAAAAGAAAAAAAAAACAAACAAAAAGGCAUCACCCUUUUCACUGUGGACUCAGUAUGCAGUCUACAGUUAAAGACAUAAAAACAGCAAAAAAGCAAAAAGAAAAAAAAAACUAAAAGCAUCAGUCGAUAACUAAAUAGAAAAAAAUUUAAUAUUGAUGAACUAAAUUAAAUAAAAAAAAUUAAAUAAAAAGAAACAAUAAAAGAAAAAAAACUUAUAAGAAGAAAAAAACUAAUGAAGAAAAAGAAAAAAAAUCUAAAUUAACUGGGUUAACCCGUCAAACCUGAGAUCCGUGUCAUGAAAGUCUGAUAACUAAAUAGAAAAAAAUUUAAUAUCAACAAACUAAAUAAAAAAAUUAAUUAAAAAGAAAAAAAAGAAGGCAUAAGCUUUUUCACCGUGGACUGCACUGUGCAGUCCACAGUAAAAGGCAUAAAAAAAAAAAGAAACUAAAGGCAUCAGCUUUUUCACCGUGGACUGCACUGUGCACUCCACAGUAAAAGGCAUUAAAAAAAAGCAAAAAAAAAAAAACUAAAGGCUUCAGCCUUUUCACUGUAGACUGCAUAUAAUAUUAAAAUAUGAAAUCGAAAGAACAAAACUAAUGAGGAAAAAGAAAAAAAAUCUGAAUCAACCGGGUUAACCCGCCAAAUUAGGUUAACCUGUCAAACCUGGAAUUCGUGUCAUGAAAGUGUGAUAACUAAAUAGAAAAAAGAUUUAUUAUUAAUGAAAUAAAUUAAAAAAGAGAUUAAUUAAAAAGGAAAAAGCAAAUAGAAAAAAAUACCUACAGGAAGAAAAAAAACUAAUCAAGAAAAAGAAAAAAAAUCUGAAUAAACUGGGUUAACCUGUCAAACCUGGGAUCCAUGUCAUGAAAGUCUGAUAAUUAAAUAGAAAAAAUUUAAUAUUAAGAAACUAAAUUUAAAAAAAAAUAAUUAAAAAAAAGAAAAAAAAAUUAAAGGCAUUAGUUUUUUCACUGUGGAUUGUACUGUGCAAUCCACAGUAAAUAAUAUACGAAACCAUCAAACUUAUUUGAAACAAUAAAUAAUUAAGUUAUUAUAUGAAUAUUAAUUGAAUAUAAAUAAUUAAGUUAUUUGAAACAAUAAACAAUAAAAGGACAUGAGAGGAUGAAUAUGAAUUGAAUCCUAACUCCACUCUAAAACUAAUAGUUUCUAAUACUACUUUUCAUUUCAUUAGUAACUUAUUCAGUGGCGGAGCCACAGCUAGGUAAGAGGAGGGUAAUUGCCUUUUUAAUUUUUUUUAAAGUAUUGUUUUAUAUUAAAAUAUUAAUAUAAUAGCUUUAUAGUGUUAAUUUUCUUUAUUAGCUACUAAUUGAUCCAAGCUUUUGUAUAAUUAUUAUUAUCCUUGUCUUUCUCUUUUUAUAAAAUUUAUCUUCAAGCCAUAAACUAUUAAUUAAUUAAGUAAAUAGAUUCUUAUAUUUUAUAUUUUAGGGAAGUUUUCUUUAUUUUUUCUAUUUGUUUCAUUAUCUAAUUUUAGUUUUAUUUCUUUAUAAUUAGUUACUAAAAAUAUUGGGGUUUAUAAUAAUUUAUGAGUUUAUUGAAUUAAUAUGUGUAUAGGUAAUAUUAUAUGCUAAUGGAUAUGAAUUGAAAUGAGUUUUGAUGAAUUGAUAAGUAUUUUGUUAUGAAUUUCAUAUGAAAAAUGAUGGUGAUGAAUUUACUAGUAAUUAAAAAUGAAGUACAUGACAACUAAAAAAAUUAGAAACAUAAUAGAUAAAUUAAAAAGAAAACAUUUAAUAUUUAUGUUUAAUUUAGACGGCUACUGAAUUCACCUUCACUAAAAUCAAUCUCCUUCACUUGCAAUGCAUGCGGCACUGAUGGAGAUGACUCCCUAUUAGUGUGCACCAUGUGCCAAAUCUUGGUCCACGAAAAAUGCAUUUCAUUGCCACGCACCCUUAAAACGGUACUGCACCAUCAUCCCCAUAUCAUCCACACCUAUCAUCCUCAACAAUGUAUCAAAUCUAUAAACAAGUACUGUGGAAUUUGCCGUCGGGAAGUUGACACAGAAUACGGAGUUUACUAUUGCCCAGACUGUGACUUUGUUGCACACGUGAAUUGUAGCAGAGAAUAUGGCGAUUCUGCAACAGAGAUUGUAGAAGAAAACGAAGAAGAGCAAAGUGUGACUGCUGAUGAUCAAUUCAUGGAACCUAGCUUUCGCGUUGUCCGUGAGAUCAAGCAUGGAGAUGAGAGAAUAAUUGAAGAGAUCGAACAUUUCAGUCAUCAACAUAACCUAAUCCUUAUUGACAAGGUUGAUGAUGAUCUAAAGUGUGAUGGGUGCAUGUUACCAAUCUCCACUCCAUUUUAUAGUUGUGCCAGUUGUAAUUUCUUUCUUGACAAAACCUGCAUAGAAUUACCCAGGCGAAAAAAAUGGCAAUAUCACGAAAACCAACUGAUUCUUUCAUGGAGCCGAGGGCCACAUGAUCUGUUCUACUGUGAUGUGUGUAAGCAAUAUUUUCGUGGGCUCAGGUACAAAUGUGAUGUAUGUGCACUCUGGAUUGAUGUCCGAUGCUAAUCAUUGGAAGAUUCCACUAAACAUGGAGGUCAUGAGCAUCCCCUUUAUCUUCCAACGGGCAGAAAGAGUAUUCUCCGUUGCCGUAUUGGAGUUCGCGGGCAUCCCCCUUUGCUUGCAGAUGACACAGAGAUUAUUCCCCAUUGCGGUGGCUGUUGUGUCAGUGAAGAAUCAAAGGUAUUUUUUAAAUGUGCGGUUUGCGAUUUCAAGCUGGGUAUGAAAUGUGCUACACUGCCAUACAAAGCAAGACACGAGUAUGAUGAGCAUCCUCUCUUCCUCACCUACAUGAAUGAAAAUGACUACCAACCUUCCUGUAUAAUUUGUGAAAAAGAUAGAGACCCAAAGCUCUGGUUCUACCGUUGUGAGAAAUGCGACUUCGAUGCUCAUCCAGAAUGUGCUCUCGGGAAAUACCCAUACGUCAAGCGAGGGGGCGUUCACACGUAUCCUAAACACCCUCACUCUAUUGCUUUGGUCGACAAGACAGAGGAUUAUCCUGCAUGCGAUACUUGUGGUGAGCCUUGCGAUGACUUGGCCCUUGAAUGUACUGAUCCUAACUGCGAUUUUAUCGUCCACAGGAAAAGAUUGCAAUGCUUUAUGUCAUUAUGGUAAUUGGAUUGCAUUUGUUGGCUUUUUUUCUUUUUUUUGGGUUAUGAUUAUUGGCAGUUGCAAGACAGAGGAUUAUUAUCUCUGUUUCUAUUUUCGCAUAUGAGAUCACUCUUUUUUUUUUCUCUGUUUUUUUUUCUGAACAAUAAAAGAUGCUAUUUUAUUAAAACUGUCCUUGAAGGUAGUUUGUUGUUUCUUUGAGCCUUCGUAGUGACAAAGAUGUCUGACCUUCCACCAUUUUUUUUAGCGGCAAAAACAAGCUAUUGAGUAAAAUCACCAUGUUAAAAUCAUAAUUCUCUAAUUAAAAUAUAAUAUUAUAGUGUUUAUAUAUUAAAAAAAUCUGGAAUAAAAUUAAAAAAAUAAUAAUAAAAUUUUAAACUAAAUAGAAAAAAAAUCUAAAUCAACUAAUAAAAUAUUAUAAGUGUGGAUAGUUUUGUGGUUUUAUUUGAAAGUCUUAUUGACUUCGUUGCUUCUUAUUACCGGCGUUUCGAACGCAAAAAAAUAUGUGGGAUCCAUGCACAGUAAAUCAAUUUUUUUUUUUACCAAACGGCUGCAAACUGCGUUUUAAUUAAAACGCAGCCGCAGCCGCGUAAACAAACGCCCUCGAAAUCCUGAUUUUUAUGCACUGUACAUGUUAAUUGCACUAUUCAAUAAACAGUGCAAUUAACAUGAACAAUGUACAUGGUACACUGUUCAGUGUACAAUGCAAUUUACUGCACUGUUCACGUGAACAGUGCAAUUCACUUGCACUGUUCACAAAGGUGUGUUUUUUUUUAAUUAUUAUUAACAUUUAAAAAAAAAAAAUUAGUUUAGAGUGAAUUAAAUUUAUUUGCACUGUGAUGUGAACAAUAUUUUUUUUCUCAAAAAACUAGUAUAGAGUGAAUUAGAUUCACUCGCACUGUGAUAUCAAUUUUAUAUCUGAUAAUAUUUUAUCUAAUUUUAUUACACGCUCAAAAAAUUAUAAAAACUGUAGUUCUUAUCAGAUGAAUUUUGUACGUAAUGGAAUUAUAAAUAGUUUAAUGAAAUAAUAAAAAAUAUUUUAUAUAAAGUAUUAUUUAUUUCAUGAUAUAAUAAGAGUAAUUAAUUCUACAAUAUUUAAAUUUAAAACCAUCAAUAUUAAUAUAUAUUUUUAAAAAUUAUUUUAUAACCUCAAUUUCAAAAGCUUUCUUAACCAAACAUAUUAAACUACUUUUGUUUCAACCUCAAUUUCAACCACAGUUUUAACCAAACAUCUAUUUUUUCAAACCAACCUCAACUAAAAGUACUUUUUAUAAAAUAACUUUUUUCAAACCACAACCACAACAGCUACCGCAAUACCAAACACACUCGAAGAUGGUUGGCGUGUACUUGUGCUUCCUUUUCCUUUUCUUUUAUUUUUAUUCCUUAUUAAAAGGUAUUUUUUUUUAAUUAGUUUAGAUAUUAAUCAAGAUUGAGUUUUUUAUUCAAAUGAUUUUAAAAAUAAACAAUUUAAAGUUAGGAAUCAUCGAACAACCUAUUUAAAGUUAUAUAGUUAUGUUGUGAUGUGUCUUAAAUCAAAUAGAAACCAUACUAGAUUAUUAAAAUGCAUUACACUGCGGAUUAAAUUAAUUUUUUUAUAAAUAUAAAAAAUAUUCAGAUAUUAUUAAUAUAUUUUUCUAGUAAUAAAAAUCUAAAUCAUAUGAAAAUUGAUUUGGUAUAACUUGAUUGACUUUACAAGUUUAAAAGCAACCCAUACAACCCGAAAAAAUAUAAUUUGAUUAAAAAAUAUUUUAAAAUGAUAUGUUUUUUUAAUAUUAAAAUAAAAAUAUACUUGACAAUUUUAUUAAAUUAAAUCUAGAAAAAAAAAAUAAUAGAUGCAAGAAAGACAUUUUUAUCUUAUGAUUUAUGUGAAUAUUAAAAUGUGUUUUAUAUGCUUGAUUUGGUUCCUGAUCUAUAGUAAUGAACCGGCUUUAUUUAAAAAUUUCUCAAAAAUUAAAAUUGCGUUGAACAAAUUAAUAAAACUACGCUAUCUCUUCUUUUUUAUUUUUAUAUAUUAAAUGGUUGGAUAAAGAUGAAAUAAAUAAUUUUAUAUUAUUUGUUUGUAUGUAUUACUUUUAUGCGUAGACUCUUUUAUUUGGUGAUAUACGACUACCUUAAUGUGAUUUUCCUCGUGCAUAUAUCAAUGACCUUUUUCAAAUUCCAAGAACAUGUCAAUUCAAAGAAAUUUCCUGGUUGAUAAUGAGCAGAGAUAAGCUAGCAGGGCGUAAUUUGACUGAAAAUAAAUGACAACAGGACAGGUUAAUUAGAUAUAGUGUACCAAUCAUUAAUUAAAUUUAUUUAAAUCAUUGACUACAAAUUCUAAGUAUUACCUGAACAAAUAAUUUCAUUUAAAAAAAAGUAUCAAAAACAUUAAACUGGACUCAUUCUUCCUAGAGCAAGAAAAAAAAAAUGUAUACAAUAUAUACAGAAUUAGAUUUGAAGAAGACGAGAGAGCAACCUCUUUUUCCCCUCUUAACCACGAGAAUUGAUUGAUGAAAGGAACGAUGAAGAGAACUUCGGAAUCAAAUAUAAUUAGAGUCAAAUAUUUUUAUAAACUCAAGUCAGUCUAUAUUGGAAACCAAUAUUAUUCCUAAUUGAUUUAAAUUCAUGCCUCCUUUUAUUCUUCCAAGUAAAUAACACAGAAACCUUAAUUAAACCUGGUAUUCUCUCAACAUGUACAUCACUACCUCUAAUGUUUUUUUAUUUGCUUGAAGGGGAAAAAAAGGUGAAAAUUUCAUCUUUUGCCUGGUUUCCAAAUGCAGACCUUGAUGAAAGGAGCCUGAAAGAACCCCAUGUAGUUGAAUGCGAUUUUCUCCCUUAUAAUGCAUUAAUUAUUCUUCCACACAUGUCAUGGCCAUGAAAAAAUAAUUUGGAAAAGUAGGUUUUUCAGAUUUGACUGUACCUCUUUGGAGAAUGGACGCAAAAUCCAAUUUUUUCUUGGAUAUAUGCUUCCCUUUUUCAACCAUGCAAAUAGCAAGGUACAUGGUCUUUUUAGUUCGGCCUGAGAGUUACUUGGUCAGACGAGGAAUAUGUGGGCUCAUUGUUAUGAGAAAGACAAAGUAGAAAAGAAAUGCUCCUUUCCAGCUUCUCAGAAAUUAAACAUGCACUGAAAGGGUAAUCAUGACAACUGACCAAUCCGCCUGCAAGGAAACCACUCCAAUCUUCCCCAUGAGAGAAUUUCUUCUUCAAAAGUAUUCAUUCUGCAGUGAAUUCAUGAUCAGAGCAGAGUUUUUCUUUGUGAACGUGCAAGUCAGUUGUGCCUUUUUUUCUCUGGGGGGAAUUGAUGAAUGUUAGCCCAAUGAUCCCCGUACCAAUGAAGUUUCCUUGAUUGAUACCCUCAAGGCCAGACGAAUACUGCAAGCACAAUAAAGUACAAGAACAAAUUGCAAUAAGAAAAACAAAGUAGAUUCUAUAAUCAUUUUCAUUGACUAUGGAUUUAGCUAUGGAAGUUUCAAUGGAUGACUAACUUGCGUAGAUGGUUAUUGAAUAUGGUCAAGCGGCGUGAGCAAGAUAUACAGCUAAUUAGACUUGUUCUUCAUGGAAUUUGUAAGAUCUCAUAAAUUUUAUUUUCUUAAUUGCAAAGGAAAAUCAGCAGGAGGAUCAGAAGUGGGACUGCAAGACAUGACGAUUAUAUAGAGACAAAUAUGCCCAUCAAAUCCAAUACAUACAAGCGUAAUUAAGCAGAGCACUCUUGUAUCGAUUUGAUGACAACUGCGUAAUAUUGGGCUAUUGGAACUACAAUAGCAUGCUGGGUUGUUGCCAUUGAUACACCAAUCAUCCUUCAACGUCUCUCCACUACUGUAACAUGAAUUGUGGGAGUUUACAGCAUGCUGGGUUGUGCCAAUAUGGUCAACCAAAUAUUACUCAGAUUGAUAUUAACUUCCCUGUUGUGAUAUCUACGAUUCUAAGUUUUCCAAGAGAAUAAAAUAUAAGAUCAGAAAAUACAAGGAAAUUUACUCCCUUAUAGAAGUCCUCACAUUUUUUUUCUAAUUUAAGCUGACAUGAACCUGUCUUUUAUAUAUCCUCGACUUCUCAUUCGUUUGGCUUUCAACUUGCCAGAAAGUAGCACAAAAUUAACUACAAUUCUAACUUCUCAUUCUUUGGAGAGUUACUUCUGGCGAGAUGCGCUUUUCCUUGGUAGCCACAUCUAUAAUUCUAGCUGUCCUCUGGGCUCUUGCUCUAGUACAUAGCCUUCAUUUUCAGUUUCCAAACUUCACGGAUUCUGAUAUAAAUCGACUUAUUUUGAGUCCCAUUUUUAAUAUAACCCAUGACGCCAUCCAAGUCACACCAGAUUCUAAUGGAUUUUCUAUGAAUAACAGGGCUGGAAGGGCCUUGUACAGAUGGCCAUUCAGGCUAUGGAGCAAUAACGGAGGGAAGAAAGCAUCUUUCAAUACAACCUUCGUACUUAAUAUACAAAACCAGACAGCUUCAAGUGGUGAAGGCUUAGCUUUUAUAUUAACAGAAGAUCGUGAUGUUCCAGAUGGAAGAGAAGGACAAUGGCUUGGAAUAGUAAAUUCCACGAAUGGAUCCAUUGAAGCCAGGACAGUGGCAGUAGAAUUUUCAUUGAAAUUUUGUUUCCUCAUCGGAUUUCAAGGAAAUGGGUGAUCUUUUUUAUGUUUUAAGAAUAUUUAAAAAAAAAUUAAUUUUUUUUUUAAAUUAAUUUUUCUUUAUGUUUUCACAUCGUUUUGAUAUAUUAAUAUCAAAAAUAAAUUUAAAAAUAAAAUCACUUAAAAAACCAUAAAAAAUAACCUGAGACAUUCCAUCAAACCUAUAAUUUGAGUCAUCAGACUUAGAUAACCUCUUAAAAAGAAAAUAAAAAAAAACAACUUGAUUUAACCCGAGUUAAGCUGUCAAACCCGCGACUCUAAUUAUGAGACCCGGAUAACCCCUUGAAAAGAAAAACAAAACAAAUUAUGAAGCUCAUUCCCAACCGACCCCAAUGUUGAAUGAUUAAUUUUGAAAAAAAAAAGUCAAUAAAAAAAGGAUACAAAAAACGACCCGAGUCAACUUCGGUUAACCCGUUAAGCAUUAUUCCUCGGUCAUGAGAGCAAGACAACCUAGUAAAAAGUAAGUUAAAAUAAAUCAUGAAACCUAAUUCCCACCCAACCCAAUAUGAAAGGAUAAAAUUAGAGAAUAUGACAAUUAAGGAAAAAAAAAAUAGAGUCAAUCAGGUUAACUUGCCAAAUCCACGACCAAGGUAAUGAGAUUAGAACAACCCAAUAAAAAAAAAUCUAAUGUUGAAGGACUCGUGACCUGGAUAAUGAGACCAAGAUAACCUCAAAGAAAAAAAAUAAAAACAAUAACUCUAUUUUAAACCUAGUUAACCUAUCAAACCCGCAACCUUGAUCAUAAGAUAAGGAUAACCCCAUAGAAAAUAUUUUUUUUAAAAAAAUUAUAAAGCUCAUUUUCCAACCGAUCCAAUAUUGAAUGAGAAAAUUAAAAAUAUAUAUAUUUUUAAAAAAAGACAUAAAAACCAUCUGAGUUAACUCGAUUAAUCUAUUAAUCUAUUCAUAAGUUAUAAGUCGUGAUAACCUAAUAGAAAGCAAACUGAAAAAAAUUAUGAUGCCCUACUCAAUAUUAAAUGAACAAAUUAAAGGAAAAAGUCAAUUAAAAAAUUUUUAAAAAAAACCUGAGUUAAUUGAGUUAAUCAGUCAAAUUUAUGAUUUAAAUUAUGAGACUGAAACAACCCAAUAAAAAAUAAAUUCAAUGUUAAAAAUGAAAUUGCAAGAAAAAAAGAAGAAGCAUUUAUUACAAAAAAUCAAAUGAAAAAAAAAGAAAGAAAGAAAAAGGCACUAUAGUGCUUCGUUUAGAAGCCCCUUCGAAAGAAUAUUGGUGAGGUUAUCAUAAAUAUAAUACCUUGCCAUAGGUAAUUUGCCUUAAUUUUUUCGGACUUGAUCAAUGGAUUAACCAAGAAAUAGAUUUUACUUCUGAAGAAAAUCUUUGUCUCACUUUCUUAAUACAUUUUACUUUAAGAAACAAGGAAAAAGAGAAGAAAAAAAAAAAGGACAAACGGGAAAUUACUUGGUUGAGAUAACCAAGAAAUAGGUUUAUCAACGGAAGGACCUAAUUUUUGUUCUAAAUAAACUUCAUGAAGCCGCUGUUUUGAAUUUCAACUUGUCGAAACUAGAGUUUUUAAACCCGGUUUGAUGAUCGACUCAACCUAAAAUUUAAGUCACGGGUUUUGCUUAGCCUGGUUCCAAUCCCAGGUCGGCUAAGUCCCACCUCAACCUACUAGGCCAAACCGAAUUUUAAAACUAUGAUCGAAACACAUUCAAACCAGCAUGUAUAUUAUAAUAGUGAUGAUUUUUUAUUUAAAAAUAUAUUAAAAUAUUAUUUUUUUUAUUUUAAAAAAUUUAUCUUUAACAUCAAUAUAUCAAAAAAAUCUAAAAAUAUAUAAAAAAUGAAUUUAAAAUAAAAUAAAAUAAAAAUUUAAAAACAAAACAUAAGAAAAAUCAAUUCUAAAAUUGAAAUAGAAAUACGCCUAUUUGAUAUGUCUUAUUUCACCUUAUUUAUUGAACAAUGGUCAUUUCAAUCACAAGUUUGGCUGCUCCACGAACACAAAACCUACAAGAGGCUCUAUAUUAUAUUUCAAUUGGUUUGUUCAUCGAAGAAGUUAUAUGUAAUGUGUGAUACAUAAACAAAGAGAAAUAAAUUAAAUACAUUAUUAUGUAAUACUAUUUAACUUGAUUUACUGCUGCAAAGAUAUUAACUUAUCAGUAACCCUUCUUUUUUGUACUAAUUAAGUUUUGUAUACAUCACAUUUCUUGAUUUGUUGAUAACAAAAACAUAAUUAACCUCGACUCCAUUAAUAAUUAUAUAUAUAAGACAUUUUAUAAAUAACUACAAAAUUAUACAAAAAACUAAAAGUCAUUCGUGAAUCACUAUGGCUUGUGAGAGGAUUUGUUGUGAAUUCGUAAAGUGUUUCCUUUUUUUUUCUCAUUAAUUUUUUUUGGUUAUUUAAUUUUUUUUUCAAUUUAAUAUUUAUAUAUUUAUUUAGUUUAAAAUUAAACUUCAUAAUAUAUUUCAUACUCCUUUCUUUCGACUUUUCAUAGUCAUUUAAAACAUCAUUGCAUGGACUUUGUUUUUAAUUUUACGAAGAAGAAUUCAAUUAAUUGAUUGUUUACGAAGAAUUAAAAAUAAGAGGACCAAAAUUGAAAGUUAGGUGAAAUGGUAGUCCUUUUAGAUGAUAUUUUCACUUCUCAGUCCUUAAUCUCUUCUUUUUUUUUAGUUCGGCCAUUGAGCUUUGUUUUUUUCAAAUUUAUUCUUUCAUAUUGCGUUGAUUGAUGAUUUAACUUGGUGAUUUGGUUUAUAUUGCUUUCUUUCGGUUUAGGGAUGUGUUUUCAGUUCAUCUUUAUAUAUUUAAUUCAACGGAGAGACAAUUUACAAACAAGUAAAAUUAGAGUGAAGUAAAAUUUUGUAUUUUUUUUCCCUCUUAUGUAAUGGUUUUACAAGUUUUUUUAAAAAAAAAGAAGAAGAAGAAGAUAAAUGUCUUUACUGUGGAGUCCCACUUUUGUAGUUAUUCCCUUUUUACUGUCUCUUAUUUAAAUUUUAAGGAUAAUUGAAAAAAUUCUAAAAUUUACAACUUCUACAUAAAAACAAGUAAAAUUAGAGUUAAGUAAAAUUACAACAUAAAAAUCAUAAUUUUCUAAUUAAAAUAUAAUAAUAUAGUGUUUAUAUAUUAAAAAAAUCCUAAACAAAAUAAUUUUUUUAACUAAAUAGGAAAAAAUUGUAAAUCAACUAAUAAAAUAUUACAAGUCUAGAUAGUUUUUGUGGUUUUAUUUGAAAGUCUUAUUGAUUUUAAAUGACUAAUAAAAUUUGAGUUGGAUUGAGAUAAAAAAAAAAAUUAUACCCUAUUCAAUACUGCUUAUUUAAAAAAAAUAUUAUAUAUAUAUAUAUAUAUAUAUAUAUAUAUAUAUAUAUAUAUAUAUCAAUCUUGUCUCGAAUUCAAAUUGUUAUCAAAUUAUUGUCGCUUUAAUUUAUAUCUAAUUAAAAAUUUCAAACCUUUGCAUGCUGCUAGCAACAUUCUCAGUCCUUUUGUAUUAAAAAUCCCUUUUGUUUUUAUAUUUCAAAAGCAUUUUUUUAAAAUAAUUUUAUUUUUUUUAUUGUAAAUUAAUUAUUUUUAUAUUUCAGAUCGAUAUGGUAAUAUUAAAAAUAAUUUUUUAAAAAUAAAAAAAUAUUAUUUUAAUAUAUUUCUAGAUAAAAAACAACAGUUGUAUUGCAGCAGAGGAGGUCACCAUAUUAUAAAAGCCACAAAAUUAGGAAAUCAAAAUAAAGAUUAGAUAAAUAAACAAGAACUUCUAAAAAUCUGAAACGGUCAGAUUUUAUUUGCAAUAUCGCUUUUAAUUUUAUUUCCUAGAAAUCCGAUACCCUCUCAAUUGAAGCAUAGAUAUCUAUCGUGCAGAACUUGCUUACAAAGAGCUCAAAAGUAGGUCUAAAAAGUCCUUUGAUGAAAAUAUCGAUUCUUUGUUAGGUAGUAGGAACAAAAUGCAUACACAUAACUCCUCUAUCAAUCUUCUCUAUUAUUUAGUGUUUAUCAAUCUCUACAUGCCUCGUACAAUCAUGUUGUACUUGAUUUUGUGCAAUACUUAUAGCAGCUUUAUUGUCAUAAUACAACUUCGUUGGCAUAUUCAUAGGCAUUCACAGUUCUUCAAGAAUUCUCUUCAGCCAUAACAUUUCACGAACUCCAUUUCCAUAACCUUAUAUUCUACUUAAGCGCUGCUUCUUACAACCACAUUUUGUUUCUUACUUUGCCAUAUAACAAUAUUUCCCCAGAUUUAAGUACAAUAUUCUAAUCUGGAUCUUAUAUCAAUGACUAAACCUGCCCAAUCUGCAUCAAGAUGUUUUGCAUGAGAUGAGUCUAACAACCCCAAUAUUUGUAUUCAAAACAAAGAGAAGGACAUGAUAAUUCAAUUAAGGUUAGGGAUUUUUUUUUUUGUAAUCAAUAAAAAUUUCAGCAGAGUUUCCUUUAUAUUUUUAGAUAUUAAAAUAUCGACUCUUCUUCUAUAAUCUCUAAUAAUCAAAUUUCUUAUUCGUUCUAUCAUCCAGGACUGAUUAUGUAAACUAUUGUGUAAAGUUAGGUACAGAGAGCGCAUAAACUAUCUUACUAAACUCACAAUAAAUGUAAUAUUAGAUCAUGUUUGUGAUAAGUAAAUCAGCUCUCCCACUAACUUUUGAUACUGUGUUGUAUUCAUACUAGAUCACCUUCCUUGUCAUCUUCAAGUUUUUGAUUGGGAUCUAUUGGAGUGUCUGCUAGCCUAGAACCUCUCAUCCCAGUCUCCUUAAGAAGAUCAAGGACACAUUGCUGUUGGGAUGUAACGAUCCCCUUCUUUGACAGAGCAAUCUCUAAUCCAAGAAAAUCCUUAAUCUCUAUUUCAAUGGCAUAUGGGUGAUUAUUAGAUUGAAAGGUUUUCCUUCUUUGAGAGCACCUUUUUUUAAGUGAAAUGAACACAACUUUGAGUUUAUACGCUACUUGUAAGAAUAGCAUAUGUGAGUAUGCUUUUGAGAUUUGAAAGAAUUCCUUGUUUAAGAGGAAAUUGGCCUUUGCCAUGUGAAAUGAACACCUUUUCAAUUUAUGCCCUGCAGAAUAUGCAGAGGAUUUUCUCCUGUGUUUAUUUAAAGUUGAUUGUCGGGCACAUCAACUUGCCCACAUAGAUCAUCCAUUGAUUAUGAAUGAAGAGCAAGAAUAUCAUGGUGAAGGAGUUAUGUGCUCUGUGUGCGCGGAGGCAAUGUCGGGUCCUAGCGAUUGUUGCACUUUUAGCAAAUUCUUUCUUCAGAAGAAGUGUGCUGAGCUACCCCUGGAGAUCAAGUGGCACUUGCACACUCUUCACCUGCUGGCAAAGCCACCAUCUCAUUACUCAAGAUGCGUUUGUGACAAGAGUUUUGCUCGCCAUUGUUGUUUCUGUGAAUUAACGAUAUCAAUUGUGCUCUUCCACCGUGCAUUUUUGAACUUGAAGGUCAGGAACAUCAAAUUAUUUGUCUAGCAAAGUAGCUUCAGUUGAAGAUUGCCUGUUUCACUUGCAAUGCAUGUGGCACUGAUUUGUUGAAGAUUAUUACCACCAGACGUCACAUCUGUUGCAUUUCUUCGUUCAGCUAACCCAGUCUCAGAAAAUUUUCCCUGUGAAUAGAAAGUUUCACCAAAACAGUAAAGCUACAAAUGUCAUUACAAUUUCUUAGUAGAUUUUCAACUUUGCCAUGAGUUUUCAAAACAUGAUAAAACAAUUUCUAUUUUUUAUUUUGUUCAAGCAACACUGACAUGUCAAUAAGAAAUGGCCAUUUGAUUUGUUUUUCAAUUUACAAUUUAGUCAAAUUCAAAAACUAACUCAAAAAAAGAGAGUAAAUAACCCGUUCAAAAUCUAAUUAGAAAUAAACUUCAUUUUUGGAUAUAUGGAAACUGAUUAUAAUGAUAACUUGACCAUUGAAACCUAAAAAAAUAAAUUUGCUAAUUAAGAAUUGUUAGGAAAAAAAUUUUUUUACUCAGAUUUGUUUAUUAGUGGAAAAAAAAAAGCAUCUAUCUGAAGAUGUCAUCUACAUGAUUUAAUGUUAUUUUAGUUUUUGCCUAUCACAAAAUUUUACAAAGCACAUUGAGCCAUGAAAAUGACCCGUUUUGGAAUGAGUCGAAGGUGGUUUUUGAAAUUACAGUUGGAUCGUGUUUUGUUUUUUUUUUUUAAUUAUAUUUUUAGUUUUAAAUUAUUAUUUUUUAUUUUUAUAUUAUUUUAAUAUAUUAAUAUAAAAAAUAAAUUUAUAACAAACACUUAGAAAACUACAGAAUCACAUUGCAUCGGUUUUUGCUUGAAAACAACAUGGUGGUGGUCCAGUUAAAUGCAUUUUCCUAAUCAAUGGCAAUGAUUUGUCAUCUUUGCAACCAUCGUCCUGUCAUCUUCGAGAGAGUAUGACAGUUUAAUCUAAUUAAUUUAUUUGUUUUAAUUAUUUUUUUUAAUUUUAUCAUUAAUAUUGUGUUUGAUUAAAAAUUAGAUUUUAUGAUUUAUUCUGGUUUAUUUUUUAUUAGAUUAUCUCAUCUUCAUAACCUAGGAAUGGUACUUAAUAGGUUAACUUGGGUUGAUUUAAUUUAUUUUUGUGUUAUUUUUUUAAUUAUAUUUUGUACAAAUUUUAUUAUUCAACAUUAAGUUUGACAUGGUUGAUUGAAAAUUAAACUUCAUGAAUUAUUUUGACUUAUUCUCCAUGAGAUUAUCUUAAUUUCAUGACCAAAGUCACAAAUUUGGUAGGUUAAACCCGGUUAAAUCAGGUCUUUUUUUUCUUUUUAUGAGGUUAUCUCAGUUUUAUAACUCUGAACAUGGGUUUAGCAGAUUAACUCGAGUUGUUUUUUAUAUUUUUUUAAUUGAUUUUUUUAAUCUUAUCCUUUAGCAUUGAGGUGAUUAGGGAUUGAACUUCAUAAUUUGUUUCGAUUUGUUUUUUAUGAGGUUAUCUCAGUCUUAUGACUCAGACAACAAGUUUGACAGGUUAACUCAAGUCGCUUUUUUAGAUCCUCUUUUUAGAUGAUUUUUUUUUUAAUUUCAUUCUUUGAUAUUAAGUUAAUUGGGUAUGAGGCUUCGUAAUUUAUUUUGAUUUGUUUUCUAUAGGGUUAUCAUAGUCUUAUAACCCGAGUCACAAAUUUGACAUGUUAACCUAAAUUGACUCAAAUCAAUCAACUAUGUUGUUAUCUUAAUAUUGAAAACAAAUAUCAUGUUUAUAUAUUUUUUUAAUCAAAUUAUGUUUUUACAGGUCAUCCAAGUUAUUUUUGAACCUGCAAAGUCAACCGGGUCAUAUUGGAUCAACCCCACUUAGUUGAAUUUUUUUCUACUAAAAAAAUAUGUUAGCAGCAUCUGUAUAUUUUUUCACGUUCAAGAAAAUUUUGACUCGACCAAUAGUGUAGCGCGGCUCAAUAAUCUAGUUAUAAUACUAUAUGGUAAUUGUGGUAGGAAAAAAACAUUUCGACCUCAUAAGCAAUAUAACACUGCACAAAUAGAAAAUGUACCCUGCAAAACUCGCAAAUCGAGAUAACUAAAGUUACCUCACCAAACUCGCAAACUGGGUCAUUAGCUUCAUAAAGUUUAAUAACUUAAUUUUUUUAUAUUAUUUUUUUUAACUAAAUUUUUUUAAAAAGUAGACUAUACUACGAUAUUGUAAUAUUUUUUUGAUACCAACUCAAUACUAAGAUAUUUUUUUAUACCACGAUAAUCAUAUAAAAAGUAAAUUAAAAUAAAUUAUCAACUUUAAAUCUCCAUAAUCACCUCAUAUAAGAACUGGAUUAAAAAAUAAUAAUAGUCAAAGGGGAAAAAAAAGGGGUCAAAAUGCACACAAAAAAACUAUGAAUUACUAUUGGUAAUUUACAGUGAUAAUGGAUGUGGAAAAAUAGUAUUUCCCCCGUACCUUUUAAUUGUAUUCUUAAUACUUGAUAAUACUAAAAGCCUUGGUAAAAAAUUUGAUGCAAUGAUUACGAGACAAGUAAAUCACUAAUAUAGCAUCAUUCAUCACUAGGAAAGGCAUAUAUGGGCUAGGGUUUUCCAUAUCUUUUGCACUAGGAAAGCCAUAUAUGGGCUAGGGUUAGGUAUAGAACCGUUGAAAAAUAUUAUUUUCAACCUGUCUCAUGAACUGUAAAUGCUUGAUGAAUGAUUGAAAUCAUGCUUGAACUUGACAACUCCAUUGUUUAGUCACUUUCCAGAUCAUGCAUCUAGAGAUUGUUACGUUUUUUCUGCUCACUGCUUUCUCUGUGUUCCAACAAUAAUCGAAGUGAGUCAACUCCUCCUCCUUGCACAGUCUUUGAUAGCCGGUUGACUAACUGAUGCAGUAUCUGGAAUUGCAGGAUCAGUUCUCAUACAAUUAAUUAGAUUUUUAAUUUCUUGUAAUAGUAUGGCGUACUAAACAUGUUAUUCACUAUUGAUGUGUAUUUGGAAUUGAAAAAGGGUUAGUGAUUUUUAAUUGUUCAUCCUUAUGAUCGAUACUAUUAACCCGAAAAAAACAAUGCAGGAGCUAGAACUGUAGUAGCUUUCUUGUAAUCAUGAUCCUUCUUUUAAUAGUCUAUUUACAUAAUAUAUUAUGGUGAUAGUUAAGAUUUAGUUAUUUUUAAAAACAAGGAUUUAUUUUGCCUAGAGUUUUACUAAUAUUUAAAGGAAUGCUACUAUUGCUAAAAAAAAUUACUUUGAUAUUUUAAUUGUUUUAUAAAGAAUUUAAUUUCUUUUUCUAGCUAAAACCAGAGUAUGGCUGUGGUAGUUAUCUCUUGCCUCUCUUUUUUUCCCUACAUCACUAGCCCUUAUCUAUGGCUAACACCUAUAGCUCGGCCUGUUUUCUUUUAAUCCAAACCGUUUUUUACUAACGUGGGCCUAGGUCUGGAAAAGCUAGCCUAGCCCGUCAUAAUACAGGAAUGCCGUUGCUCCACAGCAAUUUCCAAUUGUUCGUUUUCUCGGCAUAAGGAUAUCAAAAACCAUCAAGAAUACAUGGUUAAGGGACACUUUAUUUCUAUUAGUAUACUUUGUGUGUGUGUAAUGUAUACAAGCAUUUAAUUAAUUAUACAUUUAAUUAAAAAACUCUAUCUUUUUUCAUCAUCACCGCUACCACCGUUAUCAAAGUCUUAGUACAAGUUUUUCAUUGAAGUUGAACAUGUUUUUCAUUAAAAUUUAAUUUUUUUUUCUACUUCAUAUUAGGGGUGUUCAAAAAAACCGAUUAACCGAGAAAACCGAAAAAACCGAUGAAAAAUUAACCGAGAAAACCGAACCGAGAUGGAAAACCGAUUAAACCGAUUUUUAAAACCAUAAAAUCUUGUCGGUUCGGUUCGGUUCCGGUUUUACAGCAGAAACCGGUGAACCGAACCGAACCAAGUCACCAACCAUAAAAUACUAUAAAUACUAGUCUACAGUUAACUUAACCCUAAUAACAUUACAUUCGCCGCCGCCCAGACCAGAGACUGGUUUUCCCUUCUUCAUUUCCCUUUUAAUUUUCAUCCACUCUGCGUCUCUACCCCCUGCAUCUGUCUCUUCUCUAGCCAAACAAAAACCCACAUCUCCAUCUCUUUGGUUUCUCUCUUCACUUCACGUUUCGGUCUCUGUUCUAUCUCUCGCUCGCACGUCUGUCUUUUACCAUUUAUAAAUUUGCAGAGCCAAACAAGCAGGCAAGCAUGAGCGGUCAUGAUUCAAAGUAUUUCUCGACAACCAGGAAGGGUGAAAUCCUUGAGCUCAAAGAAGAGCUCAAUUCUCAAUACAAAGUUCAUUCGUCGUCUUUCUCCUUUCCAUUUUGAUUGAGUUGUUAGAUCUGCCUGAUUUUGACUGAUUGAUUUUGUUGGACUUUCUUCUGUAACUAGAAUUUCAUUGGAGGAUUGACUUUUAUAUUAAUUAUGUUUAUGUUGCUGAGAAAUCGUAUAAAAUUAUGCUGGGAUUUCCUUAGGUUUGGUUUUUGUUUAUUAUUAUAUAUUGAGAAUUGAAAUGGAGCUAUUAGGGAUCAUCUGAUGCAAAAUAUCCUUCCGUGAAAGAAAUCUAUUGUAUAAUUUUCAUGUUUGGCAUUAUGGAUUUUAGGAAUUCAGGUGAUUAGGUUUCCCGGUUUUAAAGCCAAAAAACCGAAUUUAACCGAACCGAACCGGUUCGGUUUGAACCGGAAUUCGGUUCGGUUCGGUUUGAAUUUUCAAAAAUUUGAGUCACUCGGUUCGGUUGGUUUUUAUGGUUCAAACCGAACCGAACCGAACCAUGAACAAGCCUACUUCAUAUUAAUUAUGUUUUAGUGUUUUUGAAUUAUUUUGAUGUAUUGAUGUUAAAAAUAAAUUUUUAAAAAUAAAAAAAAUAUUAUUUAAUGUAUUUUUGAACUAAAAACACAUUAAAAAACAAUAUUUACCACACUUAUAAACAUUCUCUUCACAAACUUAGAGAAUGGAAGUCUUGUUAUUACUAUUUCAAACAUUGAAAAUUUAAAGGAUCACCGUACCAUCUUGUAUUUGUUCCAUUUCAAAUAUUAGAUUACUUUUUAUUUAACCAAUAUUUUCUAGUGAUGUAUAUUUUGUUUUUAGUUUAACGUGGGUGUCCGGGCCAGCUUGCGCGCACCUCGACUAAUCCCACGGGCCCUGAAAUUAACGACCAUGUAAGUCUCCAGUGGCCAUCAUAUGAGCAACCACAGGGCUCGAACCUGAGACCACAGAGGGAGCAAACCUCUUAGUUUCAAGCUCUUAUUACUGGGCCACCACCUAGAUGGUUGUGAUGUAUAUUUUUUGUUUUAUGGUUGGAUGAUUUUUCUGGUACAGUUCGUCUUAUAAUUAAGACUAAAUCCAUUUCAAGGAUUCGAAUAAGGAGAUGCUAAUUAUUUGUGAUGAGACUAUUAGAUAAUAAAAUGCCAAAACUGAAUAAGUGAAGGAAAAAAAAAAAACCCAUCCAAUAGACUAGCUAGGCAAAUGGUGCUGCCCUGUUAAGCAUCAUUUUCGUUUUGAUAUUUUUCAAGGCUAAAAUAGACUAUAUGGCCUGUUUGUUUGUCAAUUAAAUAAUAAUAAUAAUUGGUUUGCUUGAUAAUGCCAAGCCCAAUUGGAUAACAACCCACCUUCAAAUCCAAGUAGUUUUUGUGGAGGGAGUAAAAGAAGUAUUUUUGUCAUAAGAAUUCCUUGUUCAUCUCUUAAGGCUGGAAGUGAGGCCCAUUUCAAAUCCCAGCAGAUGAGCAAACUGAUAUUCUUCCCUUGUACAGUACUUUCAGACAUAAGCAUGAUCAAGCAAACGGAUGAAUAAUCAAGAACAUAGUUAAUAAUUCUCCAGGAAAGAACAUCUCAGGCCACUUUCAUAAGCACAGAGGUUAUGCAAUGCUUCAAUCUUCAGUGCUAUCUCACACCUUACCUGCUCCUGACUUCGUGUUGCAUAUGAAGGUUGCAUUUGGCUGGUUUGUAGUGUUUUCUGUUAGAUGAUUUCACAAAUGAAUUCUUUCCAUCUUAUUAUAUAUCUUGCAAGGAGGAGGGGGGGAGUUGGAAGGAAAAGCUUGAGAGAUGAGAAAAUCCAAAUAGCUGCACUGCCUAAUAUUGUCCACCACAGCCUACAAGUCAGUAAUUGCAGUUUUAGCAUCAGAAUCUUUAUCAGCAAGCUCAUCAGGAAGAGGAAUAUCCUGGUAGUGCGCUGCUGCUUCUUGAAAAGCAGCACAUCGUCGGCCGUCCUAAUCAACGUUGCCCUUGGCAAAUCCCAUUUCCCCGUGCAGCAUGGCGUCUUUCACAACCGCCUUCGUGUACAGUUGAAGUUGAUUUUGAUAUCUAAGAAAUCAAAAAUUGAUAAAUAUCAUAAUACCGUCCGUGAAUCCUCACAAACGUGAAAAGCAGCACAUCGUCGGCCGUGCUAAUCAAUAUCUUUGCCAUUUCCCUUACUCUGCUCAACAUUGCUCUUGGCAGGGGCGGAGCUGGUAGCAUUUGACAGGGAAGGCUAAAACUAAUAUAAUAAGAUAUAUUUUUAAAAAAUUUAUUUAUUUAAAAUAAAAAUAUCAUACUAUUUUAUAUUUAAAUAUUAAAUUAAAAAAUUAUAAUGUUUUGCAGGGGCUGGCCGCUGCUUGCCUCCCCUGGUUCCGCCCCUGGCCCUUGGCAAACCCCAUUUCCCCGUGCAGCGUGGCGUCUUUCACAACCACCUUCAUGUACAGUAUCCCUUGAGAGCCCAGUUGAAGUUUUGAUUUUGAUAUCGCGUCGCAACCGUGAAUCCUCACGGUCUGCCCAUUUUUUAAAAUAGUUUGUCAUCAAAUUGACAAUUGACAUGGAAUACAAGUUUGUCAUCAAAUUUUUUAAAAUAGUUUUUACUCUAAAAUAUUUUAAAAUUAUUUUAAAUAUCAAUACAUCAAAAUAAAAAAUAAAUAAAAUAAUUUUUUAUUUUAAAAAAAGUCUUGAUAUGUCUGCAAAAUAGCGUAGAUAGUAACAUAAAGUUGUGUUAAACAAAAAUUAUAGUAUUUUUUUCUAAAAAAUGGAUAACAGAUGAUCAUUUAAAAAAAUAAAUUAAAUUAGUCCAUCUCUUUUCAUUAUAAAAUCUAGAAAUCCAAAGGCAAUAGUUUAUGUAAGGAUAAAGGAUGCUUAUGAGUUGGCUUUUCAAAAUAAAAUCACAAUCCUGUUUAUUUCUAUGUUUUAAAAAUAAUUUUUUAAAAAUAAAAAUUUUAUUUUUUUUAAUUCAUAUUAUUUUUUUAUAUUUUCAAAUUGUUUUGAUGUAUGUUGUCAAAAAUAAUUUUAAAAAAAUAUUAUUUUAAUAUACUUUCAAAUAAAAAACAUUUUAAAAAUCAAACAAUAUCAAUAAAUUAUGUACUUGUUUCAUAUUUAUAUAGAUUUUUAAACGUAGUUAACAUCAUAAGUUAUUAAACCCGUUUCAAAUCCCAGCAGAGAACCGAACUGAUAUUAUUCCCUUGCACAUAUGCUUAUGUACAUAAUAAAUCCAUUCGACGUCCUUUGAUCUUCAUCCUGCUACCAGCAAAAUUAUUGAUCAGAAGCUUAAACCCCCUCUUGUCAACCAAUCAUUUAUUAAUUUAAACGGCAAGAUAUAUCAUUUUAAGAUUUAACUAAGAUUUUUAAAAAUAUAUAUAUCCAAGUGCAUGUUGAUUUAUUAUUUUAAUAAUUAAAGGAUUUUAUCAAUACAUUUUUAACGUUUAGGUGCCUCUACUGUAAAAUACUUGCAUCCAUAGGCAAACGAGUAAUAUAGGAAGGAAGUAGAGGAAACCCAGCAAAAGUCAACGAGUCUUCUUCUCCAACAAGAAAAGACCCUUAUUCACAUACGCACAAAUAGAGGAGCCUGUAGCUUUCCUCGUGAUCUUCUACCCGCCUCUUCCUUACGGGUAACACCCUUCCUUCCUUUUUGGGUUUCUUUGAAUCUUGGAUCCUUUGAAUUAUUUUUCGUUUCGGUUCUCCGUCCCAUAAUCUUUGAUAAAGGGGAAGAGGGAAGAAAAAUGCUUCCCCAGCAAUUGAUUGGUAUGCGAUCUUAAUGGGAAAUCACUGUGUUCUGGAUCUCGUAGGUUGAUCUGUAAUGUAGCAGUAAGCAGCUGUAAUUAUUUAAUUAGCCGUCGGUGAAGAGGUCAAGUUUCAGUUCAGAAGGUGAGGUAUUGAAUACUAGCAGCACUCAGCUUUUAUUUGCCUUUCCAUUUCGAUAACAUAUAUAUUCGGCAGCUUCAAUAUGGCCUCCCUAUGUCUUGCCUUGGCUCAACACCUCUCAUUUCCUGCUCUGUCUUCUGAAAGAGUCAGAGACAUGGAGGUUGAACAUUUUAGCCACCCAGAUCAUCCAUUGAUCCUCAUGAAUCAAGUUCUCGAGUUUAGUUGUGAACUAGUUAUUUGCUCUGGAUGCGAGGGACCUAUAUGGGGUCCUUGCUACAGUUGCACCUCUUGCUACUUCUUUCUUCAUAAGAAAUGCGCCGAGCUGCCCCGUGAGAUCAAGCGGCGCAUUCAUCGUAGACACCCUCUCCAUCUACUGGCAAAGUCACCAUAUAAAGGAAACUACCUUUGUAAUCGGUGCACCAAAACUUUCAACAGUUUUGUGUACCAUUGUUCUUACUGUAAGUUUGAUCUAGAUAUCAAAUGUGCUUUUGAACCGGGUUUUUUUGAGGUUGAUAGUCAAUUUGCCCAUAAGGAUCAUCCAUUGAUUUUGAAUGAAGAGAAAGAAUAUCAUGAUGAAGGAGUUAUGUGCUCUGUUUGCAAGGAACCAAUGUCGGGUCCUAGCUAUAGUUGCACUUCUUGCAACGUCUUUCUUCACAAGAAGUGUGCUGAGCUACCCCCAGAGAUCAAGCGGCACAUUCAUCCAGAACACCCUCUUCGUCUACUGCCAAAUCAUCACAUGAUCUGUGGUUUUUGCAAAGAAACUUGCUAUGAGAGUUUUGUUUACUGCUGUUUUGUGUGCGAAUUCAACCUCCAUAUCAAAUGUGCUUUUCCACCUUGCGUUUAUGCAGCUGAUCAGGAUCAGGGGCAUCAAUUUAGAAGCCUGAUGAAUCCACUUUCAUUCAAAUCAAUCUCCUUCACUUGCCAUGCAUGUGGCACUGGGGGAGAUGACUCCCCUUUCAUGUGCACCAUGUGCCAACUCGUGGUCCACGAAGAAUGCAUUUCAUUGCCAGGCACCCUUAAAACGGCACUGCACCAUCAUCCCCGAAUCAUCCACGCGUAUCAACAUCAACAAUGCAUCGAAUCGAUAAACAAGUACUGUGGAAUUUGCUGUCGGGAAGUUGACACAGAAUACGGAGUUUACUAUUGCCCAGACUGUGACUUUGUUGCACACGUGAAUUGUAGCAGAGAAUAUGGCGAUUCGGCAACAGAGACUGGAGGAGAAAACGAAGAAGAGCAAAGUGUGACUGUUGAUGAUCAAUUCAUGGAACCUAGCUUUCGCGUAGUCCGUGAGAUCAAGCAUGGAGAGGAGAGAAUAAUUGAAGAGAUCGAACAUUUCAGUCAUCAACAUAACCUAAUCCUUAAUGACAAGGUUGAUGAUGAUCUAAAGUGUGAUGGGUGCAUGCUACCAAUCUCAACUCCAUUUUAUAGUUGUGCCAGGUGUAAUUUCUUUCUUGACAAAACCUGCAUAGAAUUACCCAAGAAAAAAAAGUGGCAAUAUCACGAAAACCAACUGAUUCUUUCAUGGAGCCGAAGGGAACAUUUUCUGUACAACUGUGUUGUGUGUAAUCAAUAUUUUCGUGGGCUCAGGUACACAUGUGAUGUAUGUCGUCUCUGCAUUGAUGUCCGAUGCUUCAAAUCAUUGAAAGAUUCUUUUAAACAUGGAGGUCAUGAGCAUCCCCUUUAUCUUCCAGCGGACAGAAAGAAAAUUCUCCGUUGCACUAUUGGAGGUCGCGGGGUUCCCCCUUGGGUUGCAGAUGACGGAGAGAUUAUUCCCCAUUGCAGUGGCUGUUGUGUCAGUGAAGAAUCAAAGGUAUUUUUUAAAUGUGCGGUUUGCGAUUUCAAGCUGGGUAUGAAAUGUGCUACACUGCCAUACAAAGCAAGACACGAGUAUGAUGACCAUCCUCUCUUCCUCACCUAUAUUAAUGCAAAUGACUACCAACCUUCCUGUAUAAUUUGUGAAGAAGAUAGAGACCCAAAGCUCUGGUUCUACCGUUGUGAGGAAUGCGACUUCGAUGCUCAUCCAGAAUGUGCUCUCGGGAAAUACCCAUUUUUCAAGCCAGGGGGUGUUCUAACAUAUCCUAAACACCCUCACCCUCUUGCUUUGGUCAUCAAGACAGAGGAUUAUCGUCCACAGGCAUGCGAUACUUGUGGUUUGCCUUGCGACGACUUGGCCCUAGAAUGUACUGAUCCUAACUGCAGUUUUAUCGUCCACCGGGAUAGAUGGGAAUGCUAUGAGUCAUUAUGGUGAUUGGAUUGCAGUUGAUGGCUUUUUUCUUAUUUUUGGGUUAUGAUUGUUGGGGUGAAUGGAUGGAUACAUAUGUAGCUUCAUACUUAUUAUUUUCGCAGAUGAGAUCACUUUUUUUUCUCUCUCUUUUUUUCUGAACAAUGGAUGCUAUUUUAUUAAAACUGUCAAGCUCUCCAUAAAUUCUGCAUUUACAUUUUCGUUAUAGAUUUUAUUGUAAAUGCAUAAAAAUAGUCAUAUAAAACAACACUUAUCUAACUGAUAUCAAUUAUUUUCAUUCAAAUAUUUAAUUUUUCUUUCCUUAACACAAUCUAAUAUUAAAUAAAUGUAUUUAAAUAAUAUUUAAAACGAACACCUCAAGGCCAUUCGAUAGCUUUGUCCUUUAAUAAGAUAUAUAAUGAAAAAAUAAGUUAAUUCAUGUUUUUGAUAUUUUUCUUCUUAAGAAGAAUUAAGAUUUUGCCUGUUUCACUUGCAAUGCAUGUGGCACUGAUUUGUUGAAGAUUAUUACCAUCAGACGUCACAUCUGUUGCAUUUCUUCGUUCAGCUAACCCAGUCUCAGAAAAUUUCUUCAUUUGUAUAGGUAUUGAUAUCAUAAAUAAAAUUCAAAAAAUAAAAAAUAAAAAUUUUAAUUCAUUUAAAAAAAAAUUUAAAUUUUUUUUUUUUUACCACUUCUCGUAGCAAUCCACGUAGCCUCGGUUUUACUUUGAAAACAACUUGGCAACUGAAUGGUGGUCCAGUUAAACGCAUUUUCUUAAUCAGCAGUUUUCCUUUUGAAAUGAAAACGGUUGGCGUGUACUUGUGCUUCCUUUUCUUUUUCUUUUUUUUUUGUUUUUUUUUUUUUAUUAACGUAGAUGUCCGGGUCACUUUGUGCGUACCUCAACUAAUCCCACAGACUCUGAAGUUAAUAACCAUGUAAGCCUCUAGUGGCCCUGAGAUUUGUAGGACUCGAAUGGGUGACCUCUAGAGAGCAAACCUAGGAUCUAACCAGUUAAGUUACACCUCUCAGGAUUUUUUCUUUUAUUUUUAUUCCAUAGUAAAAGGUAAUUUUUUAUUAGUUUAUAUGUUAAUCAAGAUUGAGUUUUUUUAUUCAAAUAAUUUUAAAGAUAAAUAAUUUAAAGUUAUGAAUCAUCUAAUAAUCCAUUUAAAGUUAUAAAGUUAUAUAGUUGUGAUGUGUCUUAAAUCAAAUAAAAACUAUACUAGAUUAUUAAUUUGCAUUACGCUACAGGCCAAGUUAAUUUUUUUAUAAAUAUAAAAAAAAUAUUUAGAUAUUGUUAAUUUUUUUUUUCAGUAAAAAAAUCUAAAUCACUUGAAGAUUGACCUGAUAUAACUUGGUUGAUUUUACGAGUCUAAAGCAACUCAUACAACCCGAAAAAACAUAGUUUGACUAAAAAAAAAUUUAAGAUGAUAUCUUUUUUAAUAUUAAGAUAAAAAUAUAUUUUACUGUUUUAUUAAAUUAAAUAUAGAAAAAAAAGUUUUUUAAUAGAAGUAAAAUAAACACUUUUGUCUUAUGAUUUAUGUGCACAUUAAAAUGUGUUUUAUAUACUUGAUUUGGUUCUUGAUCUAUAGUAAUGAAUCAGUUUUAUUUAAAUAAUUAAGUUAUUAUAUGAAUAUGAAUUGAAUAUAAAUAAUUAAGUUAUUUGAAACAAUAAACAAUAAAAGGACAUGAGAGGAUGAAUAUGAAUUGAAUCCUAAUUAACUCCACUCUAAAACUAAUAACUUAUUAUAUGGACAAGAUCCAUUAACUAAGAAACGGACCAAUCCAGUAGAAUACUAAGCAAUGGACCAAUCCAGUAACAAGAAGUUAAGGAGACCCACUUCAAGUCAACGAGCCUUCUUCUCCAACCAGAAAAGAAAGGGGAAAGUGUCUUCUUAUUCACAUGCUUAAAUAAUAUCAUCUGCACAAAAAGAUAGCUUUCCUCAUGAUCUUCUUCCCACCUCCUCCUUACAUAUAACACCCUUCCUUCCUUUUUGGGCUUCUUUGAAUUCUGGGUCCUUUGAAUUCCUUUUUCGUUUCGGCUUUCUGUCCCGUAAUCUUUGCUAAAUGGGAUGAAAGAAGAAAAAUGCUUCCCCAGCAAUUGAUUGGCUGAUCUGUAAUGUAGCAGCAAGCAGCUGUAAUUAUUUAAUUAGCCGUCGGUGAAGAGGUCAAGUUUCAGUUCAGAAGGUGAGGUAUUGAAUACUAGUGGCACUCAACUUUUAUUUGCCUUUCCAUUUCGAUAACAUAUAUAUUCGGCAGCUUCAGUCUUACCUUGGCUCAACACCCCUCAUUUCCUGCUCUGUCAUCUGAGAGGGCCAGAGACAUGGAGGUUGAACAUGUUAGCCACCCAGAUCAUCCAUUGAUCCUCAUUAAUCAAGUUCUCGAAUAUAGUUGUGAACUAGUUAUUUGCUCUGGAUGCGAGGGACCUAUAUGGGGUCCUUGCUACAGUUGCACCUCUUGCUACUUCUUUCUUCACAAGAAAUGCGCCGAGCUGCCCCGUGAGAUCAUGCGGCGCAUUCAUCGUAGACACCCUCUCCAUCUACUGCCAAAGCCACCGUAUAAAACACGAUGCUUUUGUGAUCGGUGCUACAAAACUUGCAACAGUUUUGUUUACCAUUGUUCUUUUUGUAAGUUUGAUCUAGAUAUCAAAUGUGCUUUUCAACCGGGUUUUUUGGAAGUUGAUAGUCAGGCACAUCAAUUUACCCACAAGGAUCAUCCAUUGAUUUUGAAUGAAGAGCAAGAAUAUCAUGGUGAAGGAGUUGUGUGCUGUGUGUGCAAGGAACCAAUGUCUGGUCCUAGCUAUAGUUGCACUUCUUGCAACGUCUUUCUUCACAAGAAGUGUGCUGAGCUACCCCCAGAGAUCAAGAGGCACAGUCAUCCAGAACACCCUCUUUGUCUACUGCCAAAUCAUCACAUGAUCUGUAGUUUUUGCAAAGAAACUUGCUAUGAGAGUUUUGCUUACUGCUGUUUUGUGUGCGAAUUCAACCUCCAUAUCAAAUGUGCUUUUCCACCGUGCGUUUAUGCAGCUGAUCAGGAUCAGGGGCAUCAAUUUAGAAGCCUGCUGAAUCCACGUUCAUUCAAAUCAAUCUCCUUCACUUGCAAUGCAUGCGGCACAGAUGGAUAUGGCUCCCCAUUCAUAUGCACCAUGUGCCAACUCGUGGUCCACGAAGAAUGCAUUUCAUUGCCAGGCACCCUUAAAAUAGCACUGCACCAUCAUCCCCGAAUCAUCCACACCUAUCAUCCUCAACAAUGCAUCGAAUCUAUAAACAAGUACUGUGGAAUUUGCUGUCGGGAAGUUGACACAGAAUACGGAGUUUACUAUUGCCCAGACUGUGACUUUGUUGCACACGUGAAUUGUAGCAGAGAAUAUGGCGAUUCGGCAACAGAGACUGGAGGAGAAAACGAAGAAGAGCAAAGUGUGACUGUUGAUGAUCAAUUCAUGGAACCUAGCUUUCGCGUAGUCCGUGAGAUCAAGCAUGGAGAGGAGAGAAUAAUUGAAGAGAUCGAACAUUUCAGUCAUCAACAUAACCUAAUCCUUAAUGACAAGGUUGAUGAUGAUCUAAAGUGUGAUGGGUGCAUGCUACCAAUCUCAACUCCAUUUUAUAGUUGUGCCAGGUGUAAUUUCUUUCUUGACAAAACCUGCAUAGAAUUACCCAAGAAAAAAAAGUGGCAAUAUCACGAAAACCAACUGAUUCUUUCAUGGAGCCGAAGGGAACAUUUUCUGUACAACUGUGUUGUGUGUAAUCAAUAUUUUCGUGGGCUCAGGUACACAUGUGAUGUAUGUCGUCUCUGCAUUGAUGUCCGAUGCUUCAAAUCAUUGAAAGAUUCUUUUAAACAUGGAGGUCAUGAGCAUCCCCUUUAUCUUCCAGCGGACAGAAAGAAAAUUCUCCGUUGCACUAUUGGAGGUCGCGGGGUUCCCCCUUGGGUUGCAGAUGACGGAGAGAUUAUUCCCCAUUGCAGUGGCUGUUGUGUCAGUGAAGAAUCAAAGGUAUUUUUUAAAUGUGCGGUUUGCGAUUUCAAGCUGGGUAUGAAAUGUGCUACACUGCCAUACAAAGCAAGACACGAGUAUGAUGACCAUCCUCUCUUCCUCACCUAUAUUAAUGAAAAUGACUACCAACCUUCCUGUAUAAUUUGUGAAGAAGAUAGAGACCCAAAGCUCUGGUUCUACCGUUGUGAGGAAUGCGACUUCGAUGCUCAUCCAGAAUGUGCUCUCGGGAAAUACCCAUUUUUCAAGCCAGGGGGUGUUCUAACAUAUCCUAAACACCCUCACCCUCUUGCUUUGGUCAUCAAGACAGAGGAUUAUCGUCCGCAGGCAUGCGAUACUUGUGGUGAGCCUUGCGAUGACUUGGCCCUUGAAUGUACUGAUCCUAACUGCAGUUUUAUCGUCCACAGGAAAAGAAGGCAAUGCUCUAACUCAUUAUGGUAAUUGGAUGGCAGUUGUUGGCUUUUUUCUUAUUUUUGGGUUAUGAUUGUUGGCAGUUGCCAGACAGAGGAUUAUUAUCUCUGUUUCUAUUUUCGCGUAUGAGAUCACUUUUUUGUUUCUCUGUUUUGUUCUGAACAAUAAAAGAUGCUAUUUUAUUAAAACUGUCCUUGAAGGUAGUUUGUUGUUUCUUUGAGCCUUAGUAAGUGACAAAGAUGUCCAUAAAUUCUGCUUUUACAUUUUUGUUAUAGAUUUUAUUGUAAAUGCAUAAAAAUAUUGGCAUAUAAAAGAACACUUAUCUAACUGAUAUCAAUUAUUUUCAUUCAAAUAUUUAAUUUUUAUUUCCUUAACAUAAUCUAAUAUUAAAUAAAUAUAUAUUAAAUAAUAUUUAAAACGAACACCUCCGGGGCAUUCGAUAGCCUUUUCCUUUAAGAUAUAUAAUGAAAACGUUUAGAAACUGAUUGAUUUUUAAUUUAGACAAAAAGCUCUUUCUAGCUCAAACCCAAUUUAAUUAUUUUUCAGGCUAAUUAAUGGAUAGUCCAGAAAAAAUAAUUAAUGCUUUUUGAAACUUCUACUGCAUUUUUUUUUAGCGGCAAAAACAAAUUAUUGAGUAAAAUCACUAUAUUAAAAUCAUAAUAUAAUUUGUUGUUUCUUUGUGCCUUCGUAGUGACAGAGAUGUCUGACCAUUUUUCUUAGCUUAGCAGGAAGCUCUCCAUAAAUUCUGCUUUUACAUUUUUGAUAUAGAUUUUAUUGUAAAUGCAUAGAAAUACUGUCAUAUCAAUUAUUUUCAUUCAAAUAUAAAAUAACACUUAUCUAACUGAUAUCAAUUAUUUUCAUUCAAAUAUUUAAUUUUUAUUUCCUUAAACACAAUCUAAUAAUAAAUAAAUGUAUUUAAAUAAUAUUUAAAACGCAUACCUCAAAGGCAUUCGAUAGCUUUGUCCUUUAAUAAGAUAUAUCAUGAAAAAGUAAGUUAAUUCAUGUUUUUGGUAUUUUUUCUUUUAAGAAGAAUAAGAACAAGUAUCGAUCUUCUUUAUCUAAUUUCUAAACCACGAAAGAAUAAGAACAAGCCAUUUCGAUCGAUCAUUUGGUUUUCCAUUUGCUAAGACAUGAUAAUCCCCCGGGGAGGAGAUAAUUAUGCUGGAAUUGACUUUGAUGUUACAACAAAAAGCUUGGCCAACAUUUCAAGUAUUAAAAUAAAAAUAUAAAAAAUCACCUGAGUCAACUCGAGUUAACCUAUUAAGUUAUUUAUAAAUCAUGAAUCGUGAUAACCUAAUAAAAAAAACUGAAAAAAAUCAUGAUGUCCAACUCAAUAUUAAAAAAUUAAAUUGAAGAAAAAAAUCAGUUAAGAAAAUAAAAUUAAAAAAAAACUUGAAUCAAUAGGGUUAACCACCCAAACUUAUGAUUUGAAUUAUAAGGCUCGGACAACAUAAUAAAAAAUAAAUUCAAUGUCAAAAAUGAAAUUGCAAAAAAAAAAUAGAGAAGCAUUUAUUAAAAAAAUAAAAUGAAAAAAAGAAAGAAAAAAAAAGCACUAUGAAAAAAGAAAAAAAAAGGCACUAAAGUGCUUUGUUUAGAUGCCACAGGUACUUUGCCUUAAUUUUUUCGGAGUUGAUCAAUGGAUUAACCAAGAAAUAGAUUUUACUUCUAACAUUCUCUGAAGAAAAUCUUUGUUUAACUUUCUUAAUACAUUUUACUGUAAGAAACAAGGAGAAAGGAAAAAGAAAAAGGACAAACGAGAAAUUACUUGGUUGAGAUAACCAAGAAAUAGGUUUAUCAACGGAAGGACCUAAUUUUCUGUUCCAGAUAAACUUGAUGAAUCCGCUGUUUCGUAUUUUAAUUAGUGCUUGUUUGAAAGUGUAGUUGCAGUUUUUUUUAAAAGUGUUUUUUAUGCUGAAAUAUAUGAAAAUAAUAUUUUUUUUAUUUUUUAAAAAUUAUUUUUGAGAUCAGUGCAUUAAAACGAUCCAAAACAUACAAAAAAAUUAAUUUUUAAUAAAAAAAUUUGAAUUUUGGUAUAACAUGGUUUAUACCGCGUUCAUCCAAACCACGUAUAAAAUAACAUCAUGUAUAAAACAUUAAUUCAAAAUAAAAAAAAUAUUGUUUUAAAAACAUUUUUAAAACAACAAACAAAUUAUAAGUUCUGAGUUUGAAUUAAAAAUACUUCUAUUUGAUAUGGUCAUUUCAAAAUAUUUUUUUUUUAUUUUUACAAAAAAAUCAAUUUUGUUGUUAGAGAAAAACAAAAAUCAAGGGGUCAAAAUUAAAAGUUUGGUGAAGUAGUAGCCUUUUUAAGAAAACAUAAGUGUCACAGCCUUUUAAACUUAAAAUUUGGUCAAAUAUUAGUUUUGAUCCCUUCGGCUUGGAAAUUAUACUAUUUGGUUCAAAAUUUUAUUUUAUUUACAUUUAAGUCAAUAAAUUUAAAAGAAAAGGGUAAAAGUUGCUAGAUUACAACGAAUGAGAGAGAAUUAUUAUUAAUCACAUUCUAACAAUCAAAAAAAAUCAUUCUUGAUAUUAAUGAAUUCUAUUUCAAAAAAAGAAUUUCAUUAAUGUAUUUUUUGCCCAAUGAACUUUUUUUAAACCCAAACAAAUAUUGAGUUUUUAUUAAGUUAUUCAAUAAGAGUUGGUACAUAUAACAUUAUGUGCAAUUUGCUUAAAUAUUUUAGUUAAUUCAAAUGAAAUAUCAUAAUAUUAGUUAAUUAUGUAAUUGUUCACAUUUCAAGGUUAUUAAGAGUUAAACCGUUUGAUUUUAAAAAUUAAAAAAAAAGUGUUUUAAAAUUAAGUGUUUCCUUUUUUUUCUCCUUAAUGUUUUUUGGUUACUUAAUUUUUUUUUUCAAUUUGAUCUUUACAUAUUUAUUAAAUUUAGAAUUAAGCUUCAUGAUAUAUUUCAUGCUCUUUUCUUUCGAGUUUUCAUGGUCUUUUAAAACAUCAUGGCAUUGAGUUUGUUUUUAAUUUUACAAAGAAGAAUUCAAUUUGAUUGUUUACAAAGAAUUAAAAAUGAGAGGAUAAAAAUUGAAAAUUAGGUGAAAUGGUAGCUCUUUAGAUGAUAUUUUCACUUCUCAGUGCUUAAUUUCUUGUUUUUUUUAGUUCGGUCAUCGAGCUUUGUUUUUUUUCAAAUUUACCCUUUCACAUUGCAUUGAUUGAUGAUUUGGUUCGUAUUGCUUCUUUCAGUUUAUCAUAAUCUCCAAAAAACUACCACCACAUUAGGUUGGUUCUCUAUUUUACAAAAAACAAAAAAUCAAUUUUUUUGUUAGAGAAAAACAAAAAUUGAGGGGAUCAAAAUUAAAAGCUUGGUGAAAUGAUAACCUUUUUAAAAAACAAUGGGUGUUAAAGUCUUUUAGACUUAAAAUUUAGUUCAAUAUUAGUUUUGGUCCCUUCAGCUUGAAAUUAUACUAUUUGGUUCAAGAUUUUAUUUUAUUUACAUUCCAAUUCUUAAAUCUAAAAGAAGACAAUAAAAGUUAUUGUUAACCAUAAUUUAGCAACCGAAACAAGUUGUUCUUGAAGUUAAUGGGUUCUAUUUCAAGAUAAGAAUUCCUCAUCAGAUUUCAAGAUAAUGGGUUGUUUAGAGUAGGUUUGUUUUCAUGUUUUAAAAAUAUUUUAAAAAAAAUUUAAUUUUUUUUGUUUUAUAUUAAUUUUUUUGUGUUUUUAAAUCAUUUUAACGUGCUAAUGUCAAAAAAAAAAAUUAAAAAAAAAAUAUUAUUUCGAUAAAUUAUUUAAGUGAAAAACACUUUGAAAAACAAUUCCCACCACAAUACAAAAAAAAACUCUUAUUAGUUGAAACUAAAUUAUUGGUAGCGCUAAAUUUUAUCUAAAUUUCUUUUAACAUAAAAAAAAUAUUCAGAUGUUGUUAAUGAUUUUUUUCUAAUGAAAAAAAAAUUAAUGCAAGAGUUGAUUUGAUGUGACUUGGUAUAUUUGACAGGUCUAAAAACAAUCCAAAUGACCAGUAAAAACAUAAUUUAACUAAAAAAUUAAUAUAAUAUUUUUUUUAAUAUUAAAAAGAGAAGUUAUUGAAUCGACUUGAAUCAAUGUAGGUUAACAUAUCAAAUUCAUUACCUGAGUUAUGAGAGCAGUAGGAAGUUUGAAUAAGAAGUGCACCUAUUUGAUAGGUCACCUCAUUUGAUGAACAGUGGUCAUUUCAAUCACAAGUUUUGCCUACUCCUCGAGGCACGAACACAUAACCUCCAAAAACAAAUCACUAAUUAAUGUGUGAUACAUAAACAAAGAAAAAUAAAUUACUUGAUUUGCUGCUGUAAAGAUAUUAAACUUACAUACACCCAUAUUAUUUUAUAUUAAAUAAAUAAAAUUAAUAAAAUUUAAACUUUUGAUUAUUCAAGACUCUAGUAUUAUAUAAAAAAUUAUUUUAAUUCAGUAACUUAAAUUAUUAAUUAAAGAGGAAAUGAGAAAUUGGUCCGUGCCCACCAUUCCAGAAUACAAUAGACAUCCAGCUCACAUGAUUACUUUUACAUGGAUAAUCAGUCAAGACAUGACCCUGGGGCUCUCAUGAUUUCACGUGAACAACAACAUUUUCUCAUUGGCAAAGGUUUUCACAAUGAUGCUGACUUGAAGACGUGACAAAUGCCUUUUUUUUUUUUUUUUUAUCUGAGAUUUUAAAAUAUAAUUUAUAUUAUUUUUUAAUAAAUAUAAUUUAAGGUAUAAUUAUCAAACCUAUUCUAGCCGGUAAGUCGACUUAAAGUCUAGCCACCCAGGCUUGAUUUCUUUUUGAACCAAUAAAUCAACCUUUAACCUGGUUACUGUAUCAAACUUGAGUGAGAUUUAAUCAGGUUAUUUCCAAGGAAUUUUACAAAAAAUUAUCUCGAUGUUUUGUUUUCAAAAAACCACUAAAAUGAUAUCGUUUUGAAACUAACCACUCUGUUACUGGGGACUUUAUUCGGGUAUGAUAAAGUUCAACAAGAUUUCCUGCUUUAUAUAGUUAUUUGAGACUCUUUUGUGUGAGAAUCCAUGGAGUUUUCAUCUGUUCUUUACAUUUGUUUUGUAUCUGUUUCAUUAUCAGUAUCAUCAAAUAAUUUGUUGAGUCUGACAGAUAGAAAUUAUCCCAGUUCAUUCACAGGAUGAAGACUGGCGAAGAAUCAAGCGAGAAAAAUGAUAAGGGAGAUCAAGUUUGCGGGUUAGCAGCAAAUGUGAAAAAGAAUUUGGAAACCUUAGGUCCAAAUCCUUUAUCGGAAGAGUGUUGUAUCUAUAAAGUUCCAAAGCGACUGCAAGUGUUAAACGACAAGGCCUACACACCUCAAGUAGUCUCCAUUGGUCCAUUUUUAUGUAAUACUAUUUAACUUACUUGAUUUGCUGCUGUAAAGAUAUUAACUUAUCAGUAACCCUUCUUUUUUGUUCUAAGUUCUGUAUAUAUCACAUUUCUUGAUUUGUAGAGAACAAAAACAUAAUUAACCUCGACUUCAUUAAUAAUUAUAUAUCUAAUACAUUUUAUAAAUAACUACAAAAUUAUACAAAAAAAACUAGAAGUCAUAUGUUAAUCACUAUAUGGCUUGUGAGAGGAUUUGUUUUGGAUUGCAAAGUGUUUCUUUCUAUUUUUCAUUAAAUUUUUUUCAGUUACUUAUUUUUUUUCAAUUUAACUUUUACACAUUUAAUUAAUUUAAGUAAAAAACACUUUAAAAAACAAUUAAAAAAAAUUAUUCUUGAUGUUAAUAAGUACCAUUUCAAGAUAAAAAUUUUAUUACUGUAUGUUUUGCUCCUCAUCUUACUAGAAAAAGUAAAUUCUUUAGGGAUUUUUUUUUGAACCGGAACAAAUUUUGAAUUAUUUAAUCAAUUAAACAUUGUUUAGAGGUUAUGUUUACGAGGUGUUUAUAAGUGUUUUUAAGUGAAAGAAAUGAUUGAAAUGUUGUUUUGUGUUCAAAGAGAGGGGAGCAAUUUUCUAGUGACUUCCAGCCUCUAGAGUUUCUCGACGAUGAAACAAAUAGGUGGCGUGUUUUUAAUUUGUCACUACAAAAAACAUAUUGGAUUAAUUAGAAAAAAAAAAAAAUGUGUUGAUUGACGUGCUAGGCCUCCUGGAUCAGUGCUUAACCAUUUUUUGCCCUUUUAAGUCUAUUUAAUGUAGAAUUAGAUAACUAAAUAUAUAUAUAUAUAUAUAUAUAUAUAUAUAUAUAUAUAUAUAUUUAUUAAUUUAUUAAAUUAAUACAAAAUAUAUUAAAGGUGUUUUUUUUAAUUAACAUUAAAAUUUUAGUUUUAGUUUGAAUAAUGUUAUAGUUGUCUUUUUAAAAUUUUGACAACCAUUAUUUUUUAACAAACAAUUAUUAUUUUUAGUUUCUCCAACAUUUUUUUUUCGAAAUGCAUUCAAUGAUUACCUUAUGAUUUAUAAUACUAUAAAUUUGACUUGACAUGUUUUAAACAAUAAAUAGUUAAAUUUUUAUUUUUAUUAUAUAUAAUUGAUGCCAUUUUUAUUUUAAUUUAAUAAUUUGUGGGUAAUAAACAUGAAAAAUAUGAUAUGAAAUAACAUGAGAGGAUCAAUAUGAAUAUUUGAAUUAAGAUCCUAACUCCACUCAAGAUAGCUCCUCUAAGACUAAUAGUUUCUAAUACUAUUCUUCAUUUUCAUCUUUUGUUUUGUAUUCAUUGUUAAAUUAUUAUAUGGACAUGAUCCAUUUUCAUCUGAAUUUAAUGAACAUGAUGAAAUGUGAUAUAUAAGAGAAUGUGUUUUCAUUUUUUUUUUAUAUCUCUAAUUAUAUAAUUUAAUUCCAAGAUAAAUGAUCUUCUCUAACAUGUCCUGUCUAUGUUUUCCAUUCAAAUUAACAGAAAAGCCACACGACCUUCACAAAUGUAUUUUGAUAUAUAAAAAUAUCACUUACUCUAUAUAUAUAUGAUAAGUAGCUCAUUAUUUCUUAUAUCUCAAAGAUUGUUUCUAAUAAGUCUUUAUAAGUGUAAUUAUAUCAGUUAUAUCUUUAAUUUUUAGUUAAGUUAUUCAAUAAGAGGCUGUGCAAUUAUAUCAGUUAAAAAAAUAAGUGUAUUUUUAGAAAGUUACUUCUCAUUUCUUAUUUUCUUGAAAUAAAUUAGAUAAAAAUAAUUAAAAUAAAAGAGAUAAGAUAAAAUAUAAGACAAAGAAAAAGUUGUAUUUAAUAAUAAUAUAUAAGUUAGAGUAAUUGUCUUUAUACAAAUAAUAUAUGAAACCAUCCAAACUUAUUUGAAACAAUAAAUAAUUAAGUUAUUAUAUGAAUAUUAAUUGAUUUUAAAUAAUUAAGUUAUUUGAAACAAUAAUCAAUUAAAGGACAUGGGAGGAUGAGUAUGAAUUGAAUCCUAAUUAACUCCACUCUAAAACCAAUAGUUUCUAAUACUAUUUUUCAUUUCAAUCCUUUACCUUGUAUUUAUUGAUAAAUUAUUACAUGGACAUGAUCCAUUAACUAAGCAAUGGACCAAUCCAAUAGAAUAAAGACAUUUGUUUGCAUAAUUAAAACAACAAUAAUUCUAAGAACCUAUAAUUAAUCUGGAAAGAAAAUAGAAAGGAAACUCAUGAUCUUCCUCUACCUCUCUCUUUUCAUUAUAAAACCUAGAAAUCCAAAGGCAAUACUUUAUGUAAGGGAUGAUAAAGGAUGCUUAUGAGUCGGCUUUUCAAAAUGAAAUGGUAAUUUCUUCUACGAUUUUGCUUUAGAUAUAUUGAUUUACGAUUUUGAUAAUUAAAGUAUUUUACCAUACAAUUUUAAUGUUUAGAGGUGCUCUGAUGCACAAUAAUUAGAGUUAGUUUAUUUUUAUAUUUCGAACAGGCAAACGAGUAAUAUAGGAAGUUGAGGAAACCCAUCAAAAGUCAACGAGCCUUCUUCUCCAACAAGAAAAGACAGGGGAAAGUGUCUUCUUAUGCACAUACUUGAACAAUCUCACCCUCACAAAUAGAGGAGCCUGUAGCUUUCCUCGUGAUCUUCUACCCGCCUCUUCCUUACAGGUAACGCCCUUUCUUCCUUUUCGGGCUUCUUUGAAUUUUGGGCCCUUUGAGUUAUUUUUCGUUUCGGCUCUGUCCCAUAAUCUUUGAUAAAGGGGAAGAGGGAAGAGGUCAAAUUUCAGUUCAGAAGGUGAGGUAUUGAAUAAUGAAUACUAGCAGCACUCAACUUUUAUUUGCCUUUCCAUUUCGAUAACAUAUAUAUUCGGCAGCUUCAAUUUGGCCUGCCUAAGUCUUGUCUUGGCUCAACACCCCUCAUUUCCUGCUCUGUCCUCUAAGAGAGCCAGAGACAUGGAGAUUGAACAUUUUAGCCACCCAGAUCAUCCAUUGAUCCUCAUUAAUCAAGUUCUCGAAUAUAGUUGCGAACUAGUUAUUUGCUCUGGAUGCGAGGGACCGAUAUGGGGUCCUGGCUACAGUUGCACCUCUUGCUACUUCUUUCUUCAUAAGAAAUGCGCCGAGCUGCCCCGUGAGAUCAUGCGGUGCAUUCAUCCUAGACACCCUCUCCAUCUACUGCCAAAGUCACCAUAUAAAGGAGAAUACGGUUGUGAUCGCUGCCAAAAAACUUGCAAGAGUUUUGUUUACCAUUGUUCUGUCUGUGAAUUUGAUCUUGAUAUCAAAUGUGCUUUUCAACCGGGUUUUUUUGAAGUUGAUAGUCAGGCACAUCAAUUUGCCCACAAGGAUCAUCCAUUGAUUUUGAAUGAAGAGCAAGAAUAUCAUGGUGAAGGAGUACAGUGUUGUGUGUGCAAGGAACCAAUGUCUGGUCCUAGCUAUAGUUGCACUUCUUGCAACUUCUUUCUUCACAAGAAGUGUGCUGAGCUACCCCCAGAGAUCAAGCAGCAUUUGCAUCCAGAACACCCUCUUCGUCUACUGCCAAAUCAUGAUAUGAUCUGUGAUUUUUGCAACGAAACUUGCUAUGAGAGUUUUCUUUACUUUUGUAUUGUGUGUGAAUACAACCUCCAUAUCAAAUGUGCUUUUCCACCGUGCAUUGAUGCAGCUGAUCAGAAUCAAAGGCAUCAAUUUAGACGCCUAAUGAAUCCACUUUCAUUAAAAUCAAUCUCCUUCACUUGCAAUGCAUGUGGCACAGAUGGAGAUGACUCCCCAUUUUGGUGCACUAUGUGCCAACUCGUGGUCCACAAAAAAUGCAUUUCAUUGCCACGCACCCUUAAAACGGAACUGCACCAGCAUCCCCGAAUCAUCCACACCUAUCAUCCUCAAAAACGCAUCGAAUCUAUAAACAAGUACUGUGGAAUUUGCUGUCGGGAAGUUGACACAGAAUACGGAGUUUACUAUUGCCCGGACUGUGACUUUGUUGCACACGUGGAUUGUAGUGGAGAAUAUGGGGAUUCUGCAACAGAGAUUGUAGUAGAAAACGAAGAAGAGCAAAGUGUGACUGUUGAUGAUCAAUUCAAUGAACCUAGCUUUCGCGUUGUCCGUGAGAUCAAGCAUGGAGAGGAGAGAAUAAUUGAAGAGAUCGAACAUUUCAGUCAUCAACAUAACCUAAUCCUUACUGACAAGGUUGAUGAUGAUCUAAAGUGUGAUGGGUGCAUGUUACCAAUCUC
rnacentral:lncRNA from 1 species